rnacentral:rRNA from 1 species
CGGAGGGAUCAUUAAAGAGUUCUAUAACUCCCAAACCCAUGUGAACAUACCUAACGUUGCCUCGGCAGGUCGCACCUACCUUGUAGCACCCUACCCUGUAGGGCCUACCCGGGAGGUGCGGGUAAGCCUGCCGGCGGCCCACCAAACUCUGUUUGAUAUUGAAUUCUGAACCUAUAACUAAAUAAGUUAAAACUUUCAACAACGGAUCUCUUGGUUCUGGCAUCGAUGAAGAACGCAGCGAAAUGCGAUAAGUAAUGUGAAUUGCAGAAUUCAGUGAAUCAUCGAAUCUUUGAACGCAUAUUGCGCCCAUUAGUAUUCUAGUGGGCAGGACCGUUCGAGCGUCAUUUCAACCCUUAAGCCUUCGUUGCUUAGUGUUGGGAGCCUACGGCAACGUAGCUCCUCAAAGUUAGUGGCGGAGUUGGUUCACACUCUAGACGUAGUAAUUUUUUAUCUCGCCUAUUAGUUGAACUAAUACCCUGCCGUAAAACCCCCAAUUUAUCAAGGUUGACCUCGAAUCGGUUCAGACAAACUCGCUAAAUUGAAGCAUCUUAGUCAGCGAAGGAAAAGAAACCAACAGGGAUUGCCCUAGUAACGGCGAGUGAAGCGGCAACAGCUCAAAUUUGAAAU